rnacentral:rRNA from 1 species
AGAGUUUGAUUCUGGCUCAGAACGAACGCUGGCGGCGUGGAUAAGACAUGCAAGUCGAACGAGAGAAUUGCUAGCUUGCUAAUAAUUCUCUAGUGGCGCACGGGUGAGUAACACGUGAGUAACCUGCCCCCGAGAGCGGGAUAGCCCUGGGAAACUGGGAUUAAUACCGCAUAGUAUCGAAAGAUUAAAGCAGCAAUGCGCUUGGGGAUGGGCUCGCGGCCUAUUAGUUAGUUGGUGAGGUAACGGCUCACCAAGGCGAUGACGGGUAGCCGGUCUGAGAGGAUGUCCGGCCACACUGGAACUGAGACACGGUCCAGACACCUACGGGUGGCAGCAGUCGAGAAUCAUUCACAAUGGGGGAAACCCUGAUGGUGCGACGCCGCGUGGGGGAAUGAAGGUCUUCGGAUUGUAAACCCCUGUCAUGUGGGAGCAAAUUAAAAAGAUAGUACCACAAGAGGAAGAGACGGCUAACUCUGUGCCAGCAGCCGCGGUAAUACAGAGGUCUCAAGCGUUGUUCGGAAUCACUGGGCGUAAAGCGUGCGUAGGCUGUUUCGUAAGUCGUGUGUGAAAGGCGCGGGCUCAACCCGCGGACGGCACAUGAUACUGCGAGACUAGAGUAAUGGAGGGGGAACCGGAAUUCUCGGUGUAGCAGUGAAAUGCGUAGAUAUCGAGAGGAACACUCGUGGCGAAGGCGGGUUCCUGGACAUUAACUGACGCUGAGGCACGAAGGCCAGGGGAGCGAAAGGGAUUAGAUACCCCUGUAGUCCUGGCAGUAAACGGUGCACGCUUGGUGUGCGGGGAAUCGACCCCCUGCGUGCCGGAGCUAACGCGUUAAGCGUGCCGCCUGGGGAGUACGGUCGCAAGAUUAAAACUCAAAGAAAUUGACGGGGACCCGCACAAGCGGUGGAGUAUGUGGUUUAAUUCGAUGCAACGCGAAGAACCUUACCUGGGCUUGACAUGUAAUGAACAACAUGUGAAAGCAUGCGACUCUUCGGAGGCGUUACACAGGUGCUGCAUGGCCGUCGUCAGCUCGUGUCGUGAGAUGUUUGGUUAAGUCCAGCAACGAGCGCAACCCCUGUUGCCAGUUACCAGCACGUGAAGGUGGGGACUCUGGCGAGACUGCCCAGAUCAACUGGGAGGAAGGUGGGGACGACGUCAGGUCAGUAUGGCCCUUAUGCCCAGGGCUGCACACGUACUACAAUGCCCAGUACAGAGGGGGCCGAAGCCGCGAGGCGGAGGAAAUCCUGAAAACUGGGCCCAGUUCGGACUGUAGGCUGCAA